rnacentral:lncRNA from 1 species
CGCCUGGUUUAAUUUGUGGUGAAAUUAAUCGAUUACCCAAAUCAAUACAGUGACAAAAAUAAUCAAGCAGAUGAAGAUUAAAUUUAAAUUACCUCAAAAUAAUCCACAAAAGCUGAGUACAGAACCUCAUGCUGUGAAGCAUUUGAUGCAUACUUAGUCCAUAUAACAACAGGUGAGAAGAAUUGUAUAGAUUCACUGGUUAUUUCUUGUCCCCAUGGUAAAAGCUACAAGAAUCCAGAAUAAACAGUGUAGUAUAACAACAGGUGAGAAGAAUUGUAUAAAUUCACUGGUUAUUUCUUCUCCCCAAGGCAAAAGCUACAAAGUAUCCAGAAUAAACAGUGUAGUAGUUUAUUGAUGAGAGAAAAACAACAGAAGCAAUGAUCAUACCUUAGAAUACUUCUGAGAAAGAGGGAGAAGAUGGUUGUAGUAUUUAUCUUUGUAAUCCCUUUGCUCAACGGUGUUAUACAGAGGGUUCAAAUCCCUGUAUACAAAUAAAUCAUCGAGCAAAAGGAAAGAAAGAAUGAAAGAAUACCAUACCAGUUUCUGUAAAACUCAC